UGGGAUAUAGCCAAGUGGUAAGGCAAGGGACUUUGACUCCCUCAUCUCGUUGGUUCGAAUCCAACUAUCCCAGCCA
rnacentral:tRNA from 1 species